rnacentral:lncRNA from 1 species
ACAUAGGAAGAAGAGAUGUAACAUCAACAGAAAGGCAAAAGCCUCAGGUAACUUUUGUAAGCAACACAAAUGGAAAAGAAAUGAGUCAAAAAUCCAGUCAUUCAGAGGAAUUAAUGCAAUUGGCCAUAUGUCAUGAAGACAUCAUCAGUAAAUGGCAAUCCUGAUGCGUACAGGAGUCAACAUAGGUUCAGGGGCAAUGCAGCAUCUCUGCCUUCUUCUGGGUAUUCCUCUUAAAUGGCUUGACAAUAACCACCAACCAGCACUGCCAUACAUGUGUCCUGUACCUAUCAGAGGCACUAGGGCAGUUUUGGAACAGAGAGCCCAUAGAAAGGCUACUGCUUAGAGAUAGCCAUUUUCUUCUUGGAGCUGGACCAGUGAAUUAGACGCAUGGAGGAGAGCUGGAAAAUCCCUUUUUGGAAGAGCUACACAAAACCAAAAUUUGGAAUUCGUAGCUAAUAACCAUAAAAAUUAAGAAAUGACUGUUGGAAGAGCACUGGAAAUCACCUGAUUAAGUUAAGAAAAACUAACUAGCUCAUGAGAAAAUUAUUUUCAGGCCAGCUGUAGCCUGUACCCUUUUGAAAAUCCCCUGACUAGUGAGUUCAUUUUUGUUGGAAUAUAGAAUUUUUCUUUUCUAAGCAGAUGUAAACUUGUCUUUCUGUGGUUGGCUUUGGAGCCCACAAGAUAAUUAAAUGGCAGUGCUAACUGAAAGCCUGGGCUGUGCUUAUAGGUUCAAGAGGCAGGUAGAAGACACUGGGUUGGGGAAGUAGGGCUAUGGAACUGUGGCUCUGGCUAAGAUUACUAAUGUCUGUGAGCGCUGGAAGAAGGGAAAUAGAAAUGAAAAAACAUGAAUAUGGUUGAUGGGCCAGACUGAGUGUUGAGGUCCUAUGAUGUAUCAAAGAAUGGCUUACAUGAAAGUUAUAAGGUGUGGAUGGAAAAGGUCAGUGUGGAAGAGAACAGAAUUACUAGCUUUAAAGCUCAGAGACAUCUGCUUUUCAGGAAAAAAAAAUACAAAAGUCUAUGAGUGAAGGAAGGAGACUAAGAGAAAGAAAGGUGAGGAAAAGAGGAAGAGAAUAAAAAGGAACAGAAAUGAGAAAAAUAUGACACAAGAAAAAAAGAAAAAUUAGGAGGAAGGAAAGAAGAAAGGAAGGCAGAGAGGGAGGAAAGGAAGGAAGGAGACAGGGAGGAGAAACAGAAAAAGAGAGAAUGAAAGAAGUGGAAAUCAAGAAAGAAACAACAUAAGAUUCUACAGAGAGGACUCAUUAUAGGCAAAAUAAGUAAAAGAAAUUUCUUUUGGCAUUGUCCUAUCUCCCUUGCAUUCUCAUCUACUAAGCCUUUUCUUCCCUGUGGGCAAUAUUAUUGGCAUGAGUAAACUCUCACCUUAAUAUUCCUAAUAACCAUAAGUUUGUCCUCUACUCCCUAAAACUACUGCCGUGUGUGCCAUGCUCCAAAGUAAUCUCUUAUUCUCACUUCGUAACCUUUCAUCUCAGCUGUGUGUCAGUUAAGAAGAAUUUCAUCAAACUAAGCCUCUUGGAUUUUAAAAGAAUGCUCUUGCCCAGUUAUAUCUUUAGUUGGCAUCAUUUCAGGUAUGAAAAGGCUCUGCUCUAUGUGCCCUUAUCAAUCCUGAAAGAGCUAUCUCCCCAAGCAAAAUGAGAAGGACAAUCAUAACUGGCUCAAGGCUAGUCCAAUCUGGCUCUGUCCUUAGAUCCAAAAAGUUGAAGUUGUAAGUGACCCUAGAAAUGAUCUAUUUCACACUUAUUGUCCAGACAAUGAAACUCCAGUGGAGAGUGGAUAGGACCCUUCUAGGGUCGCAUGAUUGCUAGUGGCAAAGCCAGGUCUGAAUCAUAUCACUGCUUAUGGAGAACUUGUUGCCCUCACCAUUGUCCUCAAAUUUCUCCUGUUGACAGCAGGAUCCCUCAGAGAAAAGAUAGCUCCAGCCAAAGAACUCAGUGUAGCCCCAUGAACUCUCCAAAUAAUCAUAAACACAGCUAUAGUAGACAAGAAAGGCUAUCUUCUCAUGACCCUUUCUGUGGUUAAAAUCCUGAAAAACUGGGCACUACGGCUAUAUUCCAAACAUUCUUGCAAAUAGUAUUUCCA